GGUUCGGUGGUGUAGUGGUUAUCACGUCUGUCUCACAUCGGUGAUUUAUGGAUUGGAUGUACACAGGAGGUCCCCGGUUCGAGACCGGGUCGAACCA